rnacentral:ribozyme from 11 species
UACACGCAGAGAAGAGAAGAAGUGGAGACGGGCAGAGAAGAAUGGAGGGGUCGAAUGAGUGAAAGAUCGAUUCGUUCUUUCGUUUGUCCAUUUGUUGGUCACCCCUUUUUUUUUGUUUUUUCCCUUCGGCUUGCUCUGGGAGUGAGUCUGCAUGGGGGGAGAGACCUCCCCCUUUGUUUGAAAGUAUGAUCUGAAAUCAGAAAAGCGUAGCUCGACCAAUGCUGAUGGGAACGUUUUAUCCCUUCGUCUUCCGGGUGCGUUUAAUGAACUUCCCUUUGAAUGAAUUAAAACGGAAGG